rnacentral:rRNA from 1 species
GACGAACCAUGCAACCGUUAUUCGGAAUCACUGGGCUUAAAGCGUGCGUAGGCGGUUCAGAAAGUUGGGUGUGAAAUGCCUCGGCUCAACCGAGGAGUUGCGCCCAAAACUACUGGGCUUGAGGGAGUUAGAGGUGAGCGGAACUCACGGUGGAGCGGUGAAAUGCGUUGAUAUCGUGAGGAACACCGGAGGCGAAAGCGGCUCACUGGGGCUUCACUGACGCUGAGGCACGAAAGCUAGGGGAGCAAACGGG